UACGUAGGGUGCGAGCGUUGUCCGGAAUUAUUGGGCGUAAAGCGCACGUAGGCGCUUCGCAAGUCGGAUGUGAAAUCCCUCGGCUCAACCAAGGACGUGCAUCCGAAACUGCAAGCUUGAGUAUGGAAGAGGGUCGCGGAAUUCCCGGUGUAGAGGUGAAAUUACGUAGAUAUCGGGAGGAACACCAGGUGGCGAAAGGCGGCGACCUGGGGC
rnacentral:rRNA from 1 species